GUUUGAUCAUGGCUCAGGAUGAACGCUAGCGGCAGGCCUAAUACAUGCAAGUCGAACGGUGUCUUCGGACAUAGUGGCGCACGGGUGCGUAACACGUAUGCAACCUACCUUACAUUGGGGGAUAGCCUUUCGAAAGGGAGAUUAAUACCGCAUAAGACAGUAGCUGGGCAUCCAGCAGCUGUUAAAGAUUUAUCGAUGUAAGAUGGGCAUGCGACCAAUUAGUUAGUUGGCGAGGUAACGGCUCACCAAGACUAUGAUUGGUAGGGGAACUGAGAGGUCAAUCCCCCACACUGGCACUGAGAUACGGGCCAGACUCCUACGGGAGGCAGCAGUAGGGAAUAUUGGGCAAUGGACGCAAGUCUGACCCAGCCAUGCCGCGUGCAGGAUGAAGGCGUUAUGCGUCGUAAACUGCUUUUAUACAGGAAGAAACGACUCUUGCGAGAGGCAUUGACGGUACUGUAUGAAUAAGCACCGGCUAACUCCGUGCCAGCAGCCGCGGUAAUACGGAGGGUGCAAGCGUUGUCCGGAUUUAUUGGGUUUAAAGGGUGCGCAGGUGGUUUAUUAAGUCAGUGGUGAAAGACGGUCGCUCAACGAUUGCAGUGCCAUUGAAACUAGUAGACUUGAGUAAAGUAGAGGUGGGCGGAAUUGAUAGUGUAGCGGUGAAAUGCAUAGAUAUUAUCAAGAACUCCAAUUGCGUAGGCAGCUCACUUGGCUUUUACUGACACUCAUGCACGAAAGUGUGGGUAUCAAACAGGAUUAGAUACCCUGGUAGUCCACACUGUAAACGAUGAUAACUAGGUGUCGGCCGAAUCUGGUCGGUGCCACAGCGAAAGCGUUAAGUUAUCCACCUGGGGAGUACGCCGGCAACGGUGAAACUCAAAGGAAUUGACGGGGGUCCCGCACAGCGUGGAGCAUGUGGUUUAAUUCGAUG
rnacentral:rRNA from 1 species